rnacentral:rRNA from 2 species
GAAUUGACGGGGGCCCGCACAAGCGGUGGAGCAUGUGGUUUAAUUCGAUGCAACGCGAAGAACCUUACCUGGUCUUGACAUCCACGGAAGUUUUCAGAGAUGAGAAUGUGCCUUCGGGAACCGUGAGACAGGUGCUGCAUGGCUGUCGUCAGCUCGUGUUGUGAAAUGUUGGGUUAAGUCCCGCAACGAGCGCAACCCUUAUCCUUUGUUGCCAGCGGUCCGGCCGGGAACUCAAAGGAGACUGCCAGUGAUAAACUGGAGGAAGGUGGGGAUGACGUCAAGUCAUCAUGGCCCUUACGACCAGGGCUACACACGUGCUACAAUGGCGCAUACAAAGAGAAGCGACCUCGCGAGAGCAAGCGGACCUCAUAAAGUGCGUCGUAGUCCGGAUUGGAGUCUGCAACUCGACUCCAUGAAGUCGGAAUCGCUAGUAAUCGUGGAUCAGAAUGCCACGGUGAAUACGUUCCCGGGCCUUGUACACACCGCCCGUCACACCAUGGGAGUGGGUUGCAAAAGAAGUAGGUAGCUUAACCUUCGGGAGGGCGCUUACCACUUUGUGAUUCAUGACUGGGGUGAAGUCGUAACAAGGUAACC